UUUUUUAUAGUGUAAAAAACACAUCAAUUUUUCGUGUUGAAGAUGGGUCUGAUCUCUGAAGUUU